GACGAACGCUGGCGGCGUGCUUAACACAUGCAAGUCGAACGAUGAAGCUGGAGCUUGCUCCGGUGGAUUAGCGGCGAACGGGUGAGGAACACGUGAGGAAUCUGCCUUCCACUCUGGGAUAACUCCGGGAAACCGGGGCUAAUACCGGAUACUUUCAACUGGCGGCAUCGCCGGUUGAAGAAAGUUUUUCGGUGGAAGAUGACCUCGCGGCCUAUCAGCUUGUUGGUGAGGUAAAGGCUCACCAAGGCGACGACGGGUAGCCGGCCUGAGAGGGCGACCGGCCACACUGGGACUGAGACACGGCCCAGACUCCUACGGGAGGCAGCAGUGGGGAAUAUUGGGCAAUGGAGGAAACUCUGACCCAGCGACGCCGCGUGAGGGAUGAAGGCCUUCGGGUUGUAAACCUCUUUCAGCAGGGAAUAAGCGAAAGUGAAGGUACCUGCAGAAGAAGCACCGGCUAACUAUGUGCCAGCCGCCGCGGUAA
rnacentral:rRNA from 1 species